GUCUAUGGCCAUGCCACCCUGAACAAGCCCGAUCCUGUCUGAUCUCGGAAGCUAAGCAGGGUCGGACCUGGUUAGUACUUGGAUGGGAGACCACCUAGGAAGACCAGGUGCUGUAGGCA
rnacentral:rRNA from 1 species